rnacentral:rRNA from 1 species
GACGAACGCUGGCGGCGUGCUUAACACAUGCAAGUCGAACGGAAAGGCCCCUUUGGGGGUACUCGAGUGGCGAACGGGUGAGUAACACGUGAGUAACCUGCCCUUGACUUCGGGAUAACUUCAGGAAACUGGGGCUAAUACCGGAUAGGAAUCCUUGCUGCAUGGUGGGGGUUGGAAAGCUUCGGCGGUUUUGGAUGGACUCGCGGCUUAUCAGCUUGUUGGUGGGGUAGUGGCUUACCAAGGCUUUGCCGGGUAGCCGGCCUGAGAGGGCGACCGGCCACAUUGGGACUGAGAUACGGCCCAGACUCCUACGGGAGGAAGCAGUGGGGAAUAUUGCACAAUGGGCGGAAGCCUGAUGCAGCAACGCCGCGUGCGGGAUGACGGCCUUCGGGUUGUAAACCGCUUUCAGCAGGGGCGAAGCUUGUGGUGACGGUACCUGCAGAAGAAGCACCGGCUAACUACGUG